UCUUUCAUAAGCAUAUUUGUUCUAUACAUGUAUUUUCCUAGGAGCUGAGCUGAACUUAAAAUUCUGGUUGUACAGACUACAAAUCUUGAUUAGUAUAUAUAAGUAGACCAUCUUAAAUAUACUUGUUGAAUGUAUAAGAAAUAUGGACAGGAUUGUCACCAUGCCAAAUUAACAUAUUUUUCCAUAAAAGAACUAAACCUACAUUAAUCAAAACUAGUUAUCUCUUAUAGACUAGAAAAGAGCUUCAACAGUGGUUUAAAAGAAAACAGAAGAAAGGAUCACCAUCAAGUCAUCUGAGAAUGACUUUACAGCUCGAAGAAAGCCUUAAAAAGCAACAAGGCAGCCACAAGCCACAAAACCAACAAGCUGCAACAAAUUUGUAAUGAUCACAGUGGAAACCAGCAGCCUGUCAGCCACUGGAAAGGUAGAAUGUUACUGGGGCUCCUUCAAAACCCCAUCCCCAGGGAAUGGUCAUUAUUUAACCUGUCUCAUAGGUCCCUGGAAGACCCCAAUUGCAAGGUUGUCAUUGUUUGACUUGAGUUGGAGCUCAUGCAGUGAAAAGAGCCUUUUCUCUAUGGGGGUUUAUUAAAAACAAUUAGAGGCAAUUGUUUAACAUCAUGGCUGCCGGAUGCAAUCACCUUUGUAAAGAUUAUGACAGC
rnacentral:lncRNA from 1 species